UCGGGAAGAGUUAUCUUUUCUGUUUAACGGCCUGCCCACCCUGGAAAUGGCUCAGCCGGAGGUAGGGUCCAGCGACCGAAAGAGCACCGCACGUCGCGUGGUGUCAGGUGCGCCCCUGGCGGCCCUUGAAAAUCUGGAGGAUCGAGUGCCGUCCGCGCCCGGUCGUACUCAUAACCGCAUCAGGUCUCCAAGGUGAACAGCCUCUGGUC
rnacentral:ncRNA from 1 species